rnacentral:sRNA from 1 species
GCCGGGCGUGGUGGCGCAUGCCUGUAAUCCCAGUGGCUUGGGAGGUUGAGACAGAAGGACUGCAAGUUCAAAGCCAGCCUCAGCAACUUAGCGAGGCCCUAAGCAACUCUGUGAGACUCUGUCUCUA